rnacentral:precursor_RNA from 12 species
GUAGGAUUGUGACACUCAACACAGUGGACGCUCAAUAAAUGUUUGUUGAAUUGAGAUGCAUUAAAUUCAACGGGUAUUUAUUGAGCACCCACUCUGUGCCAGACGCUGUGUGGGGCG